GGGCUCAUAGCUCAGCGGUAGAGUGCCUCCUUGCAAGGAGGAUGCCCUGGUUCGAAUCCAGUGAGUCCA
rnacentral:tRNA from 1 species